ensembl:lncRNA
UGUUUAGAUUUUAUGUCGAUGACAGUCAAGCAAGUUCCUCUUCAUGCAGCAUACCCUAACCUUGGCACUGACAAGUAUUUUACAUCUCCCGUUAUUUAUUAUAUGUCACAGCUCAGUGGUUCGUUGUUCUCCAUGUGGGGGAGCUGUAAGGCUACCCAGGAGCACUACAGUAGUGCGCAGCUGUACUUCUUCUCUUAACUCCACACCUCUGCAUCUCUAUCCUGGGAGACCACUGUGGAGCUACCUGAGAAAUCUUGCAAAUAUGGUAAACAGAGCUGCAAAAAAACUGGAAAAAAAAAUGCUGACUCUCAGACUUCAGGCUGGUAUUUGUUCCCUGUGGGAAACAAUCCUAAAUAUACUGCAUGGUUCCUAUACCUGUGCUGAUUCUUUGCUCAGUUCUGCUCUCUGCGUUCAUUAGAAUUUCUCUGCCUUCUUUGGUCAAUCUGUACUUUCAGGUAUUUUAUCUAUUGCUGCUUUGGAGCUAUAAUACAGGCAUUGCUAUAGUUUGCAUAUGUGGCACCAUUUCAGGUAGAGACCUGCUGGAUGUAUAGCAGCUCCAUUUAGUCUAGUUAUUUAAUGCAAUUGUAAGUAGCAUAAAUAUAUGAAGCAUAAAAAAGGAGUCUCGAAAAAAUUGAGUGUAAUUGCACGCUAAGUACGAAUAUCCCAGACUUCAGUCCCAAAGUGUGUUUGGAUUCGCGGAGGCAUGUGUGUGAUUAUGCAAAUAAUGUUUACAUAUUUUUGCCGGCGUUUUUUGUGGAUGCACUCGAACUAUGUUUGUUCAUCUGUUUCAGAGGUUUGUAUGUGAGCAAAUGUGCGUGUGAAUAUGUAGGUUGGUGGUGGCAGAUGCCUCUCGCUGUGUGAAAAUGCCUUGGGUUGAAUGUUUCCAGUGACAGUAAAAAGAGAAGGAGACCACUGGAGAGCAACAGACGCAGUUUCUGGCUGAGGAAGAAAAAAAAAAAAGAAAAAGAAGAAAGGUUCUAAUAUUUUCUCUCUGUCAGCGGGAGAAAAGAGAGUCAUAGCAGCGAAAACAACAACAAGUGAUCAACAGAACCCGCCUUUUUCCCCCGCCAUCCAUCUUGCUCUCUGUUUCCACUAGUCUCACAUUGUCAGACCUUAUUCCCGCACUACAUUUACGCAGUUCCAUCGCAGCAGAAAUCUCCAGAGAGGCUUCAUUCGAGCGAAAGAUAUCUUUCGCUGUUAGUUUUUCCUCUCUGUGUAGAUCACAUGGACCCCAACAAACCCAGCCCUGGCAAAUAUGAGAGGGGUUUGUUAAAGUCAAUAAGCAAACAGACUAUUAUACAUAUUCAUGCAGAUGCCACAUACUGCUUUACAGCCAUAAUAACAUUC